rnacentral:rRNA from 1 species
UACGUAGGUGGCAAGCGUUGUCCGGAUGUAUUGGGUUUAAAGGGUGCGUAGGCGGCUUUGUAAGUCAGUGGUGAAAUAUGGCAGCUCAACUGUCAGGGUGCCAUUGAUACUGCGGAGCUUGAGUACAGAUGAGGUAGGCGGAAUUGACGGUGUAGCGGUGAAAUGCUUAGAUAUCGUCAAGAACACCGAUAGCGAAGGCAGCUUACUAGGCUGUAACUGACGCUGAGGCACGAAAGUGUGGGGAUCAAACAGG